UCUGUAGGGUUUUAGUUUUACAGAGAUUUUCAAAAACCCUUUACAGCUCUCUGCUCUACUCGCUUCCUAUGUCGCGUUCGGUUUCUGGGAAAAUUAAAUUUUCCUGGAAAUGUUAUGGAGAUUUUAUAGGUGGAGUUUGCUACACCCAACCCCAAAUCGCCUCUUCAUUGCUUCAGUUCUGCCACUUCGUUUUCUCUCCUCGGCAACGGUAUGUGUAACUAACCCAACUACCCAGAAUAAAAAAUUCCGGGAAAAUCAACAUUUUCCCGAGAAAAACAAUCCCUUUAUCACUCUCACUCAUCAGAUUGUACAUUCCACCUUACUGAACUGUACUUCUGAUUUGAUUGCAUUGAGCUUCUUCUUAUGGUGUGCUAAGCAACCCAACUACUUUCAUAAUACGACUGCGUUUGACCACAUGGUUGCUGUGGUUAACCGCCUUAUGCAUCGGUAUGAAACUGUUGGAGGGGUUGUUAGGGGAUUAGAGAGUAUUGGGUGUGUUACAAAGGCACAAACUUUUUUGCUUUUGUUGAGGAUUUAUUGGCGUGGAGGAAUGUAUGACAUGGUUUUUGAGGCUUUUGAGCAAAUGGGUUGCUUUGGUUUUAAGCCUAACACGUUUGCACGUAAUGUAAUUAUGGAUGUAUUGUUCAAGAUUGGGCGUGUCGAUGUAGCCAUUAAGGUUUUGAAGGAGACCCAGUUGCCUAACUUUUUGACAUUUAAUAUUGCAUUGUGUAAUUUGUGUAAGUUGAAUGAUUUGGUUCGCGUUCGGGAGGCUUUUACAAUGAUGUUGGGAAUGGGGUAUUAUCCGAAUGUUGAGACAUUUGAGAUGGUGUUGAAUUGUUUUUGCAAGUUGAGUAAGCUAGUGGAGGCAUAUCAAGUGUUGGGUCGAAUGGUUACUUUGGGCAUUCCAAUAUCUGUGAAUGUUUGGGGUAUACUCAUUGAUGGGUUUUGCCGGUUGCAUAGAAUUGAUAUUGCGUGUAGUUUAUUGGAGAAGAUGGGUAAGACUGGUUGUUCUCCUAAUGUUGUAACAUAUACUACUUUAAUUAAGGGACUUAUGGAAACAAAAAUGGUAGGUGAUGCAUUCCAUGUUUUAAAUAUCAUGAAAUCCAAAGGGUAUGCCCCUGACUUGGUUCUUUGUAAUGUAUUAAUAGAUUGUUUCUCCAAGAUUGGAAGGUAUGAUGAUGCGCUUGAUGUUUUUGUAAAUUUAGAAACUCAAAAAAUGGCACCUGAUUCUUAUACAUUCUGUUCUUUGUUAUCUACCAUAUGUUUGUCUAAGAGGUUUUCUCUCUUACCCAAGUUAGUCCAUGGACUUCUCAUAGAAGCAGACUUAGUAGUUGGUAAUGCACUUCUUAGUUAUUUUUGUAAAGCGGGGUUUCCAAAUCUUGCUGUUGAGUUAUAUAAUGAUAUGCUUGAUAGAGGUUUUACACCAGAUAAAUAUAGUUUUGUUGGAUUACUAAGUGGCCUAUGUGGAGCCAGAAGAAUUGAUGAAGCAAUUAAUGUUUACCAUGGGAUCAUUGUGAAUUAUCCUGGUCAGGAUGCUUACAUCCAUACUGUAAUUACAGAUGGACUUAUAAAGGCUGGUAAACUUUAUAAAGCCUUUAGAGUAUUUAGGAAAGCAGUUGUAGAGAAGUAUCCACUCGAUGCUGUGUCAUACACAGUUGCUAUCCAUGGACUUCUUAAGAGUGGUAGAACUGGAGAGGCUUGCACCCUGUAUAACCAGAUGAAGGAGGCCAGUAUAAUUCCCAAUGCACGUACAUAUAAUGUAAUACUCUAUAUUUCUUGUAGAGAAAGAGAUCUUAAAAUGGUCAUGCAGUUGCUACAAGAGAUGAUUGAUGCAAGGGUAGAACUGAGCUGCAAUAAUUACUUUAGGUUAUGUAAUUUUCUUUGUAGAUCACACAAUUCUAAUUCAGCUGUUAAUCUCUUAAUUGAGAUGAGAGAUCUUGGGUUGAUACCAGCUAAGGCAAUCUGUGCCCCUUUGUCUGAAGAACAUGUCCCAGGUCUGAAAGUAGAUGGUGAGAGCUUAUUGCUGUUAAAAGGUUAUGUGGAAAAGGAUCCAUUUGUGGGCACAUCUGGCUCUGAGGACCUUUCUGACAUGGCUGCUUCAGUGGGUUGAGAUUGAACUGAUGGUACAGGUUCUCUUCUCUAUAAUUCAGAGAUUCAUCUGUAUUUUUUGUAAGGUAUCCUGAAGGUAAUAUUGUUAUCUAUUGAGGAGAGCAGGCUAUGCCACUAAGCUGCAAAUCUCUUGGCAGGCAUCUUGAAGAUUGAUGCUAAUAUUGAAGGAUGAGAUUGCAAGGAUGGUUGAGCUUUUUCCAGGAUAUAUCCUUUAAACACUGGCCUGAUGGAGAUGGUAGAAGUACCUCAACAAAGGUUUUAUGUUGGAAGAGGCUCCUCAAGUUCUGCCUAGUUUGAGUUAAAUAAUUGAAGGAUGGUUCUCAGUUUAGAAAGGUCUAGAUUUGCUUUACUCAAAGGGGAGGGAAACCAAUAAAAAAAAAAAAAACAAUAAAAAAAGGAGAAAAUCAUUUGUUUACUAUCCCUUCUGUGAUGUAAGAAGUGAAGCUUGCAUGGCAUCAUGUCAGUUAAUAAGUAUUUUAAAGGGAAACAGUGUUGUUAAUGUAGUGAAUGUAGUCUGCUAACCCCUUUUGAUGUUCCUGUUAAUCAAGUGUCCAUAAUGAAAAUCCCUUUGUUUCAUCGUACUGACACAGAACUUUACUGUUCA